UACGUAGGGUGCGAGCGUUCAUCGGAAUUACUGGGCGUAAAGCGUGCGCAGGCGGUUUGUUAAGUCCGUUGUGAAAGCCCCGAGCUCAACUUGGGAAUUGCAGUGGAUACUGGCAGGCUGGAGUACGGUAGAGGAAGGUGGAAUUCCCGGUGUAGCAGUGAAAUGCGUAGAGAUCGGGAGGAACACCAGUGGCGAAGGCGACGUCCGGGACCGGCAUUGACGCUGAGGCGCGAAAGCCAGGGGAGCAAACGGG
rnacentral:rRNA from 1 species